AAUACCUAAACUCAUACAUAGCAAACCAACCAAUAUGCUCCCCAUGACUAUUUCUAAAUAUGCCCACCAUGACUAUUUAUAACAGUACUACAUUGAGGACUCCAGUUCUUGAAACAAGUAUCAUACACUGAAAGGAUAAAGAUGAGAUCAAUGUUAAUCUGAAUAGUAGAAGCUAACCAAUUCCAAAAAUGAGUUUCAGAUUGCUUAUUGCACAAGCUACACAUGGAUGGUAAAUGGCACCCUCCGCUAGAUAAGUUUUCAUCUAUAGGAGAUUUAUUGUGAAAU
rnacentral:lncRNA from 1 species